GGGGAGGAAGUGCUUUAGCAAAUGGGGAGGAUAAAACAAUGCCUAAGGAAAAGACUCCUCUUGGGAAAGGCGAAGGUACAAACACCUGCUAGACAAAAGGGCUGGGAGGUGAAUGACUCUCUGAACUCUGGAUCUUCCUUGACCAAGGACAACUAACUGUGAGCAGGGUGAAGCAGAGAGAAACAGGAGUGGCGUGUUAAAGGGACAUUCAUUUGUCAGACUUUCACAUCACAACACUGCCCAAUGCAUUGUGGGCCCAAGGUCCAGUGUGCUUCAACAGCAGCCAGGGGAACUACAUGUUGUGGACAACAAACUUCUGCAUGUUGGGAGAACUUCCUGGUUCCUACCAGGAUGUACCCUCUGCCCCCGCACAGCAGGAGGUCUCAGCACUGACUGAGAUGGGAGCACAUAGCAGGCAAGCAGAGAGGAGGCUUCUGGACUGUAAUACUGUUCUAU